rnacentral:lncRNA from 1 species
ACCAUUUUCUCCAUUCCAUGGACAUUUUCCCACCACACCAGUGGCUACUCCCACUUGCACUAGGAGCGCUGUGACACCCCAACUUGUGGGGCAGAGGUCAGGCCCAGAGUGCUGAAGUGCUGAAGCUCCUGUAGAAGGUCCUUCCAUGUGUCUUUCAGAUCCUGGGCUUGGCCUUCUCCAUAACCAUCACCCAGCACAUCCACUGGACUGGGUCUUGCUCUGUCAUCCAGACUGGAGUACAGUGGUGCAACCACGGCUCACUGCAGCCUUGAACUCCUGGGCUCAAGCAAUCCUCCUACCUCAGCCUCCAUAGCAGUCGGGACCACAGCGUGGCCAUCCAGCCUGCCCUGAUUUCUCCUGAGCAUACAAGUGCCUGGUCCACACGUCCACAAGGUAACAAGGAAUGCAUUGCCAAAUACCUGGCUGAAAUCAAGGACACUGACAGAGGAUGCAGGAGGAGGAAACGUCACUUACCCUCUGGUAAUACACAUGGGCCAGGACUCCCGCCACCAGCUCAACCAGGAAGAUGACGAGCAACAGGCAGAAAUACUAGCAGCAAAGAGAGAGGACGGUCACCACUGGGAUCGGGUUGCUGCUAUGACAAAUGUUUCCCCACAGUGGUGGGGGUGGUAGAGAUACCUGCUGGGACCCCUAUCAUCCAUGCCAUCUUCCUCCUGGAUGUACCAGCCUCACUGGCUGCUGGCACCAAGUUCCCCACUUACUCCUUCCCUCUUUGGUCUGCUGACAAUUCAGUACGGCAUGUACCCAUCCAAUAUGUAUUAAAUACAUGCCAUAUGCCAGAUGCCAGGUAGCGUAAGUAAGACAACUAUUGCUCUCAAAGUUAUUGAUGGUGGGAAGACAGAUGAGUGACUGCAAUGCUGUGUUACAAAUGCAACUACAGGGUAAGCUCUAGAAAUGGUGGGAGGCUCCUGGUAGGGUGGGCAGUCAGAGAAGGCUUCCUGGAGGUGGUGACGCCUAAGUAACAUCUUUAAGGACUGAAUAGGCAUUUGCUAAGUGAAGGAGGGAGGCACAUUCCAGGAAGAGGGGAGAACAAGUGAAAAGCCUGGAGCCUGCAGGAAGCAUGGGGCAUUUGUGUUCAGGGAGUGGAGAGUGCCCUUGUAGUUGGAAUGCAGGGACCAGCGUGGACUGUGACAACCAAGGCUCAGGAAAAAGCAAAUCAGAGGUCCAGGGGAAGGUGAUUCCUGUGUUGUCUUUCAGCCCUGAUGCCCAUUUCCUGUUCUACAUGGCCCUGCAGGGGUUCUCAUUACUGCUUCUCCCACCUCACAGCCCUGUUGCUGCUGCUGGCUUCCCAGCCGUGCAUUCAGUGUGACCUGUAGAAGGACAUGGGCCCUGCUUCCUUCUCACUCCCACCUGGCUUGCACAGUCAGGAGGGCUCCUGAGACCCUGCUCGACCAACUCUGCUUGCAGGAGCCAACAGGCCUAGAAGGCAUGUUGGGACUCCCUCUCUCCCCACCCUGGAGGAGCACGGAGAGGGGGAUGAAGCUGGCUACAGGCAGCCACGGAGCUCACAGACAGGGACAAGGAGAGAGAAUAGAGAAGAGAGGAGAGAGGGGGAGCACUACUGAUGGAAAUUGGCCCCACUGUGGGGAAGCUCAGCCAGACUCAUGAGCACCUGCCACCCAGGCUGCCCCCGGGCACUGCCCGCCCACCUGGCCACAGCAGGGCAGCUACCCGUGGUCACUGGGAUGGCUGGAUUCUAGGGAAGGCCCAGCCUGUGGGUGAGACUGAGACUCUAGGGCUCACCCAGCAGGGAAAGGAGUGUGGGCAGGGGGGAUACGGUGGCGGGUGGCGGCGGAGCGGGGGCGGUGCCCAGGAUAGACAGAGCAUUUCAGAGGCAAUGCUAAUCCAUGGGCCCAUGGGCCUUGCCCAACCAUCUCCUGCACGACUCAGCAGGGAGCCUGGCAUGGGCAGGGAUUAAGGAAUACGGGAGAGGGGCCAUUUCUUUUCACAGGAAAAGAACUGUGGUCCAAGAGCAAGGUUUCCUUUCAAAUGAAGUGCAUUACCCACCUCCUCAUUGCAAUUUUACUGUGUCCUAUAGGCUCCCAGCAUCAGGGACACAGAGUUUCCAGUCUCAGAAUAACAGUGUCAGGCCUAGCCCCAUCAUUUGUGGGGCCUGAGGCCAAGAGCACAAAUGCAAGGUCCCUGCCCCUUCCUUUCCUACCCCAGGCUCUUCGCUGCAUCAGGAAAAACCUCCAGCUCUGUGUGCCCCUCCCCCAGGGUCAGAUGCCCCUUGCGGGAUGGGAGGUGUGUGGAGAGGGCUGGGUGUGGUGCAGGCUAGGGGCACAUAUGCCAGGGGUCUAGUCAGCCUCAGGACAUGCUUGCAGAUGCUGCCUGCAGGCACAGGUUGUCUGGACAGAGGAUUCACUCUCCUGGGUCCCUGGGAGGAGGUCAGGAAGUGGCGGGAGGGAGUUGCAGAUUCCACAAGGGGAUGUUCCCUCUGCCCUACGGACUUUCCACUCCCUGGGGAGGAGUGUGGUUGAAGGGGGCCUCAGGACAGGGGCCUGGGUCUGCGUGUGGUACUGAGUGGUAUGCAGGGUAAGCUGAGGCAGGAGGCUGAAGAGAGCGUCUGUGGAUGGUCCUCCUGCUUGAGGAGCCUCUGAGAAGCAGGGCCCAAACACUGAGGAAAGCUGGGGGAAAUGUCAGUGGACUUGGGUUGGGUCCAGGCUCCACCACAUGCUGGCUCUAGCUGGAUGGCUGCUAGUGCUUAGGUGCAAAUUAGAAAAACGUGGCUCAGCAAGAGUUGCAUGGGCUGGAUUUCAGCCUUCUUUGGUCCCCUCGUGUAGGACGCAAAGUUUAGGGACAAGGAGGACCCAACGAGGGGGAAAUGUACUUUCCAGUGAUCUAACCCGCCUCCUGCCCUCCCAGAGCUCCAGGUCCCACAGCAUGAGGGGUACGGUCCCUGUCAGCCAGAGGCAGGCGUAGCCAGCCCAUGCCAGAGUGUGAUCCCCCUGGGAGAAGCCCGGCCCAUCAGACAGAGCAUGGCUACACAUUCACCCUCACCCCACCCAGGGUGAGGCAUCCUUGUUUCUGAGUCUCCUUGACUCAGGGGCUCUCCCCUGCCAUGCGCUGCUGGGCCCUGCGGCUCCUUUCUGACAUGCGUGCCCUUCCUGCCUGCUCCAAACUUCCCUCCACCAUCCUCAGCUACGGUGCUGAGGCCGGAUCCCUCCUGCUGCACAGGACCUGAAGGCAUUGAUGCCAGUGGCUCCCAGAGACCUCUGGGGCAUGGGAGGAAGAGGUGAUGGAGUGCCCCUGACAGGAGCACCCAGGCUGCUGGCAGCUAGGAGAGCCACAUCCUGGCAUCUCUCCACCUUCCUUCUCUCCACCACCACUGUGAGCUGUGAGUCAGGCCCGUAGGAUACUCCUGGAUAGCUGGCAGUGUCACGCCACUUCUCGGGGGAAGCCACUGCCCCAGUUACUAUUGAAGACGGGGUGGGGAACAGGGAGGAUGGGGAGGUAGAGAUACUGAACCUCACCCAUUGGUUUAGUGGCUGGCUAAAUUAGUACAUGCUACCCCUGCACAGGCUGGUUCAGAGGCAUCAAACAGGCUAUCUGACCUGCGGAGUGGUCAGGAGGAGGGGAGAGAGCUUGGCAGUGGCGGUGGUGUGUGGGGAUAGCCUUCUCGAGCUCCAGUGUGUUAAGAUGCCUGGAAGGGGAGUGAGGGCCUGGCCUGGGGCUUCAAGGGGACUGAGGCCGGGUGCUGGUGGGCACAGGUGCUGGCUCCAGGCAGCAGCUUCCACAGCAGGGAGGCUGCGGGUGUGUGACUCACCUGGACAGGUGUGUGACAGGCCCAGGAGGCAGGCAAAGGGUCCCUCAUCAAGAUGCUGGGACUUCAGCCGGGUGAGGUCAUGGGCUCUGACAGACCUGUCACCUCUGCCCCUCCACCCUGCACCUUACCCAGCCUUUCCUGACUCCCUGGGUCCGGCGCGAUCAUCUCAGGGCCCCUGCGGCACACGCUGGCUCUGUGUGCAAAGCUGAAAAGUGUUCCUGGUGUUGCUGCACACAGUUCUCUUCACACAGGCCAAGCGUCCAGCCUUUGGGCCUUUGCCCUGCCUGUCCCCCUGCCUGGAAUGCUGGUGCCUACCUGUCCUUCCACACCCAGCUCGGCUCAGUCUUGGCUCCACCAGGCUAUCCUUGGGCAGGAGCAACUGCCACUCCCCACCGUCUGAAUGCCUGCAGCGCGUCAUCUGCUGUCUCCUGACACCUGCACUCUCUGCUUUGCCCUUCUCUCCUCAGCUGGACUGGGCUUCACCUCUGUGUCCCUCCCCUUCGCCUGCCGUGCGGUUCCUCAGUGUAGGUCAUCACCGGAUGAGUGACACAACUUUACCCAUUGCUCCGUAGCACUGCUCUUGCUUCAGGUGUUACCACUCUGUCCCCUAGCAUGACUGUGAGCUUCGGAGAAACAGGGACCACAUCUGAGGUUGCUUCUGGCUCCUCCACAGUGCCUGGUAUGGUGCUGGGUCUAGACAUAACGCUUAGCAGACAUCCCCUGAUAAAGACGCAGGAGUGCACUUUCUAAUAAAGUACACCUAUGAGACAGCAGAAACUGGCUGGAGCAUAACCAGCCCCAUGCUGCGGGCAGUAGCUUAAUCUUUUUCUGAUCUGAGAGUAGCAUAGCACAGUUACCUUAGUUAAAUUUACACCAGUGGUUCUCAACCUGGCACAAUUUUGCAACCAGUGGGUAUUUGGCAAAAGGAGUAUCUAGAGGGUCGAGGCCCGGAUGCUAAGCAUCCCACUGGGUGCAGGGCAGUCUCCCGCAGUGAAGAAUUAUCUGGCACAAAAUGCCAGCAGUGCCGAGGUUGCAAAACCCUGGGUCACACAUUUACCUUCAGGUUCUCAGGCUGAUGCUGGGACUUGAUUUGCGUAUGUGUCCCUAUGCACUGUGGGAGCCACAAAAAUAAGAUCCAAGGAAUGUUACCUAGCUCCCGAAGAGCUGGAAACAGAACAUGGACAGAAGCAUGUGCAGCACUGUACCUGCCUGGGAGGGCACCUCUGCGGCAGAAGGCUACUUGCCUUGACAAAAGGAAGGAUCAGGGAAGCCUAUAUUGCUUCAGCUCACAUCCCCAUGGGACCCCGGGGCUGGAAUUCCAUGAGGGAAUUCCAUGAGGCCAGGUACAACCCAAGAGCUCUCAGUGUUUCCUUGGGGAUCACCUGUUUUCUGAAGCAGCUGUGGUUUCCUCCAGUUGCCUCAGUGAGCUGGGGAGGGGUGUGACGCCAUAAGGUUUGUGUUAGGGUUGACUCUAGGAAGCAUCAAGAAGGUUCUGGAAACACCUUUUGCCUUAAGUUGGGUUUGGUAUUGCUUUUUGAAUUAUUAUACAAAAGUCAGUAAUAAGAAAUUCUCAGCCCAUAUUUCCAUGUAGUUAGAAUUCACAGGACCUCAUGGUGUCCUGCUUUUCCUAGCUCACUGUGCCAGAGAGGGCCCCCGCUCCACCAAUAGAGCCCAGAAUUCUCUGCAGGGAGCCUCCAGAAUCACUGGCCCAUGGCUUAGGAGGCAGUACCCCAAUUCAGGGCAGGCUGGCCUUGCUUCUCAAAACUUAGUAGAGGAGGAGAGGGCAGGCAGGUUUUCUGUAGUGGGAGCAAUAGACAGGCAUCCCUUCCAGCAAAAGAAAAAAAAAUAACCCUUUCUUGGCAGAGGCAGUGCCUUACUCAUCUGCACAGCCCUGGAGCACCAAGCCUAGCCUAGCACAUGGUACCCACAUGUAACAGUAACAGCCCACGUGUACAAGCUUUCCCAGGUGCCAGCCCCCCUUGCAAGCACAUUGCAUGGUCUCUCCUGUCCACGCUUGGAGAUGAGUACUAGCAUUGCUCAUCACAUUGCCACAUGGGCACGAGCAUCAGCCUCGCUUUAUAGAUGAGGACAGGAGCUUGGAGACGCUAAGUAGCUUGCUGAAGGUCACAUAGCAAGUACGUGGUGAGCGAGGAACAGAACCCAGGAGUUCCAGCUGCAGAACCUGUGCUCUGACCUGCUGCAUGGUACUGUCCCCACUAAAUGGGGGAGGGAUGGACGGAUGAGCUCACUGGGCUCACUUAGGGUGGAUUCAGCAUUUUAGGGCAGGUAUGGUUCAGGUGAACACAGGGGUGUCAGUGCUCCUCCGCAAAGGACAGAGUGUCAGGAGAGGUGAGGAAUGAGUAGGUGAAGAUGGAGAGAAUAGAAGGAAGCCCAGGGAAGCCCUCCCUGGGCGCAUAAGCAUCCGUCACUGCCCUGUGUUCAGUCCCCUGCCAGCUGUCCUGGGCACCAGUGGGGCAGGCAAGAGAUAAUCUAGGUGGCCCUCCCCCCACCUCCCCCCUGCGCAGCCGGCUUUCCUCUUUGCCAAGAAUGGCACGAGAGCAACUUUCACCUGCUCCUCCCUGCUACUCCACCCCUUGGCUCAUCCUGGGUUCAUGGCCAUGGAUUCUAAUGCCUGUUUCUGCCCCCUCUGCCCUUCACUUUAUUCAACCCAGCCUGCUCUUACCUCAGAAGCUAGGUAAGGCACUGUUGUACAAGCCUGAGAAACACUCCUGUGUGUGCACACAGAACCGUGCACAACGAAGCCUCCAGCCUCUGUGCCUUUUGCUCUCGCUGUUCCUCCUGCCUGGAAUUCCCUACCCCAACCCCAUUUGUGUUCUACUUAUUGGCUGCUCAGCCACCAACACUCUCAGCUCAGGCACAGCCUCCAUGAAGCCCUCCCUGAGCCAGAAGUUUCUGAGCCAUGGUCUCACUGUUAGCAUCCUUGUUUCUGAGCUUCCCUGACUCUGGGGCCUCCCUGCUUGUCUCGCUCCCUGGGACUGUGUACACGCUGAUCCCUGCUUGCCCUCCUGGCUCUGAUCUUUACCUGGUUCUGCCUUCAUGGUCCCUGUGCCCUUGGUGUGACCUGAACCUAUCCCACUGACCUCCAGCUCCACUCUGGUUUCUGUGACUGGUCUGCCCCUGCAGGUCCAGGGCUGCCGGUCCUUCCAAAAUCGAUCCCCUGUGGUCUGACGGAAACAGGUAACGAGAAUUCCAAAGAAAGCUCCUGUAGCAUCUGCCCCAGAGUCCUCCAUAAAAACUAUCCCAUUUCAAAAUAUGCCAAGCUGGAGCAGUGUGUUAAGCAUAGAAUGGGAUCCAAAUAUUCAUCUUUCCCCAUGUAGCAAAGCGAUUUUAUUUCCUAUUAAUUCUUUAAUGGAACAGUUUAAACUAGAAGCAAAACUGGAUAUUUUCUAAAACUAUAGAUCCAAAGUGAAGCUAGAACAGCAUAGUACUCUCUGAACCAAACCAAUUUUUUUUUUUUUACACGAGGCCUUGCAGGAAAUAUGCAGAAAUAUUUCACUGUGACAUUAAGGUGAGUAAUUAGAUAUUGAGUCCUUUUUAUUUCUUUUUUUUUUUGAGAUAGGGUCUUGCUUUGCCACCCUGGCUGGAGUACAGUGGUACAAUCAUGGCUCACUGCAGCCUCGAACUCCUGGGCUCAAGCGAUCCUCCCACCUCAGCCUCCUAAGUAGCUGGGACUACAGGUGCAUACCACCAUGCCUGGCUAAUUAAAUUUAUUUAUUUAUUUAUUUGUAGAGAUAGGGUCUCACCAUAUCGCUCAGGCUGGUCACAAACUCCUGGUCUCAAGCAAUCCUCCCAGCCUGGCCUCCCAAAGUGCUGGGAUUAUAGGCAUGAGCCACCAUGUCCUGCCAGAAAUUGAGGGUUGGACUUAACAUCGCUUGCGGGCAAGCUGAGCCCCAGAUAGAGAUUUUGGGGCACAUUCACUGGUGCAUAAGAGACAGGGCAGCUCAGCAUCAGCUGGUGCCAUCUUUGAGGUAAGUUUGAAGAACUUUAUAAAACUGGAAUUUCAAAAUUUCUCCAUUGGAUUGAUUCUGCCACAAAGAAGGGAGCUUCACUGAAGCAUUCCUCUUCUGUAUCUCCAGCCAUUCUGAAUAAUUAGAGAUAGGGUUUGUGAAGCUUCCUGCCAAGCCAUAUCUAGUCAAGGCAGUCCAGGCAGGUUGGGAUGAGAGGCAGGUACUAGCCUAUUCUCAGAACAGGGCAUCAACAGCCAAAGAAAACCCAAGACCCUGCCAAGGUUAAGUUGCAGGGAGGAGAGCCCAGCCCGAGGCUCCCAGCUGGCUCUGUGUGUGAGAGGAUUACAGAGGAAGCCGGAGGGAGGGUCAGGGAGCUCAGAACCACCCGCCAAACAGGAAAAGUGAAGCCAGCUGUUUCAGUGGCAACAGCCUAGGGGGAAUUAUUUUCUGGCAAUUAACCAUUAACUGCAGUGGGCUCAGAGGUGCAGCUGCCCGGCCCAUUUGUGCAGAAAAGAGAGGAUGUGGAUUUGGGAGCCUUCAGCCAUUCCUGUAACCAAGUGUCACUGUUAGAAGGAUGGAGGUAACCUCUACCCCUCCUGGCCCCAGCCCAGGGCUCAGCGCCUGGGUUGUCCAGCUGCAACCACGCCAAAGGUUGGGAUUCAGCCAUUUCACCUGGAAGUGGCUUUACAGUGAGGGCUCAAGAAUGUGCUCUGGCCAAUGUCUGAUACUGACUUGUGGUUCUGGGAGCAGAAAAGGGGGCCAGGGCUAGGGUGCAGAGAGCCGGUGGACAGAGAGAGGGCAUGCUGGAAGAGGCAGGGAGGGAAAAAAACUGGGUCUUGGGGAGGCAGCAAGUCUUCUAGAGGCACAUCAAGAAAAUGUGGCUGAGGCCCUUCAAUGUCCCAGCCCAAAUGUUGGGGGUCUAAGGAGAUCACACUGUGUGUGUUCCAGUGGGCGGUGAGGGUCAUGGAAGGAGAACACAGUUUCAGAACUCCAAGCCAAAGACAGGCAUUUACUAGGAUUCAAGCUGGGACUACUGAGAGCCCAGUCUGAACAGGCUGAGUGAGAGCAGCCCCCAGACUGGGCAUUAGGGCCUGGCCAGCUGGCUGGGGCAAUGAGGGCCAGACCCCCAACAGGGAGACACGGCACAGGGAACUCAGAGGAUGAUGGUGUUCAGCGGAUUCUGGCAUGAGGAAAGUGACCAAUUGCUACUUCCUCCCAGUGCCCUGGAAUUACCCAGACUUUCCCAUUGGCUGUCUUCUUGCAGGCUGUGGGAGAGAUAGUACAGCCUGAAGGCACCUGUGCAAGGGGCAAGGGUAGGACAAAGAACAGAGGGGAGGACAAAGAACAAGAAGGAGACACCAGGCUCCAGGGAACAGGGCAGCCUGGAAGUUAGGGAAAGCCCAGAGAGGUCAGAGCCUCUGACCAAAUCCAAUACAAAUUUAAACUGCCCGCAUGGUCCUUUGCCUUUUAAUACAGGCGCCUCAUGUUCCUCACUAGACUCUAAGCCUAGAACUGGGUCAGAGUCCCUUUUUCCCUCCUCCCCUUCUCACCCUGCCUUGUGCCCAGCAGAGCAGGACAUGCCAGGAAUGUGCUGGAAAUGCUUGUUGAUGUUGAUGAAUUAGGCAGUCCCAUCAAUGCAAUAUGGAACAUCCACUGCAGAAAAUCGGAGGGAGGUGGUGGUGGAAGCUAAUUGGCCAUAGAACCACCCCAUCAAGACAAUGCUGCUGGAUUGUGGUGAUCAGGUACACCCGCUGCAUCCCGAGAAGGAUGGAUGUCAACACAAACCCUAUGAGUCUCUUGAGCGGUCAGCUCUUCAGGAUGUUUGCAUCCUGCUUCCCAAGGAGCCUUCAGGGUUCUGAGGUCCCCUGGUCCAUUCCCCUGCCUGCACUGCAUAAGCCACGCUGGAUGAGGAAAGGACUCAUGCUGGAGAGGGGUCGGGGUUCCCCAAGUCCUGGCUAUAGAAUGGUGGGGGCAGCUGACUCAAAGGUUAAAGAGCCACCAAACAGAUGAGGCAAGGCCCACCUUGGAGCUGGGUGGCUGAUGGAGCAACAUAACAGAAUGUGUAGGUAAGAAACGAGCCAGGGAGGACACAGUCCAGUUUCCAGGCAUGGGGACUCAGGCUCUCCUCACCCUGAACUUCCCACCAGCGCCAGCUACUUCAGAGGAUGUGGCCCAGCUCAGGCUGCAGGGCCCUGGGAGCCAUGGCCCUCAGAAUAACUCUUAUUUAUUUAGGUUCCUUCUUAAGGGAGCUUGGUCAUGGUGACGGCAAUAGUGAUGUGAAUGUUCAUUAGAGCCACAUUUUUACCAUCUUUUUAUAAUGUGGUGACUUGCUUCCCAGGACCUGAAAAUACUUCUUCGUUAUCCUCACACAUCAUCCUGUAUAAAAUGGCAACACAAGGAGGCAGGCAGAAGCUGAGUGACUUACCCGAGGUCCCAGAGCAAGCUAGGCAAGGUACUCGAAAACCAGCUUUUGAACCCGAGCCCAUAUAUUUUCACCUUUGAUUGUGGACUUUAGUGCCCUGGUUGACCACGUCUUGGCCUGUUGGAUGGAGGUGUGGCAAUUCUGGAUCCCCUUGUUUUAGAAAUUGGUUUUUAGAACUUCUUACUUUUUUAUCCAUCCCCUAAAUAGAAAAGAACUCCCAAUAAAGACCCAGUUUAGUCUGAAUCAUCCACCAUGAUCUUCAUUUGGCUUAAAAUAUAGAAGUUUUCAGAGCCCCCAUUCACAACUCUAAAAAUAUCCCUUUCUUUUGAUCUAGGUGGCCUCUGUUCUGGUCAUUGACCAUAGGCUCAGAUGGCCUGAAUUAUCUCUCUCAUGCAGGCUUUGCUAAAAAAGAUCUGGUGUGAAUAAUUUAAGCCCCAUUCCUGUUCCUGCCUGGCAGAUUUCCAAUGCCAAGCUGAUCAUCAUUUCAGCACCAGCAGAGAUGUGCUAUUUCUGUCCCCGACGGCCACGUCCUUCUUGGGAAAGUGACUUUGAGGAGCUGCAGAUGAGCUAGGAGGAAGGGCUGUGCCAGGACAGACAUCGUGCCUGUGUGGAAGCUGGAUGGUCCCCCUCUGGGUCAUUCUUUGGGAACUCCUCCCCUGCUACUCCCGAUCCAAGGUAGUUGCACAUCAUUCAGAUGCCUGGUCUUUCAUCUUUCCCUCUCCUCCUCAGGGACCACUUGGUCUAGUGAUAGACUCACUGCCCUUCUCCUUUGGAGCUUCCCUCACCUGUCAGCUGAUUCAAGAUUUCAAAUGGAAGUUAAACAUGGAGGGGACAAAAUGAAAUGAAACAAGGAAGGAACUGCUAAGAGCCAUACAGCACUUUUACACUGCCUUAACCACACCACUUGACUCUAAAUGGGAGCCUGGGUUUUAAAAUUCCUACCUGUGUUAGCCCAAGAAAGGUUGUACAGGCACCUUCUUGGUUUAAACAAUCAAGUGCUCGAUGCUUCACGGGCUGUUGGGCCAGGAUGUGGAUUACUCAGGAUCCCCAGCUUUACCUCCUGCUCUGUCCUUGGGCCAGUUGUCAUUGGUUCUUUCACAGAGGGGCAGAUAAAGCAAAGAAAGCAGAUUCUAGGCCAUGGAGUUUGCUGUUUGCUAGCGCCCUGGCAGAGAUGCCUGUCUCCACAGUCCUGCGUUGGUGGCUGAGUGCAUGUGUGCGUGCAUAUGCAUGUGUGUGCAUGCAUAUGCAUGUGUGUGCACGAAUGUGUGUGCGUGCAUGCACACUUUUUUCUGACCUCAGUUUCAAGCUGUUGCCUCCUUGAUGUGUCUGUUUAGUGACUUGGACCAGAGAGAUCACCAGUUCUGUGUGGGAUGGGAGUGAACGCAGGCAAGUCUCUACAGAAGAGGGUAAAGUGGAGCUGAGAAGAAGCAGGGAAUCUUGCACCAGCCUGUGCAACAGCUGCUGUGCCCCUCUCUGCCUCAAGCCCCAGAGGGAUAAGGCUCACUGCCUGUUGACUCCCCGAAGUGCAGAAGGGUAGGGCAAGAGGUGCCCAGCAAGGCUUUGGGCAAGCACAAGGCCCUGACCUUCACUGACUCUCCACAUCUCUCCCACAUGCUCUGGGCACAGGGCUUGGUUCCCUCUGGGCAGGCCAUCCAGACUAAGUGACAGCCAGGUUGAGACACAGAGGCUGAAGACAUUCAUUCUUCAUGGAUCAGCCUGGAUGUCUGGACAGAUCUCAUGAACAGAUGGUGUAAGAGGAAGUGUGGAAUGGGAGGCUGUGAUCAGUGGCUUGGAGAGCACAGCGUGGUCAGGUGCUAAAGCUUAGGCUUCCCUUCUGGCCUUUGAGAUGGCCAAGGGGAAGCGCUCCUAUGAUUACACUAUUCUCCAAAAAAUCCAAUAAUUCUGAGUGUCUCCCACUAAUGCCUGGGUGACCCACACACUCACCCACCCAGUGUCUUUCAGCCUGUAACCUUUGGAUGGAGCACUGGACUCUGUGACCCUCAAGGUCCCUUCUAAGCUGAAUAUACUCUGACCCAGGUGUGCUGUUCUUUCCUUACUAUAAUGGGAGCAACGAGGCACUGAGAUGCCUGAGGCUUCUAGGGUCCCCUCACUACACCCCUGUCUCUUGCCCUAGGGUUCCGGGCUAGGUGCUGGAGGGGACCCUCCCUUGUUACCAGCCAGAUCUCCAAAAGCCACUGCUCCAUGAAGACCUCUCCAGAGAUGGAGGGCAGGGUGUGCCCUGCACACAUCCUCCCCCUUGGCCUCUGGUCCCUCUGCCUCCCAUCAGGCUUGUCCUCCUCCCCAGGGAAGCAGACUCUUAGAGGUGAUUCCAACAGACAGCAACGCACAGUCCAGCUCCAGCCAUUACUUGCUCCACAUCUCAGCCCAGUUUCUUCAUCUGGAAAAUGGGGGUGAAUAUGACCUCUUGGGUUGCAGAAGAGUGUGGUGGGUCAGAGCGUGGGCUUGGAGGCAGACUGCAUGCCACUCACCAGCAGUGUGUAUCAUGCAUUUUAAAACUUCGCAUUUUUCUUCUGCCUCCACAUCCCUACAUGCAGACUGUGCGCACCUGCUGGGGUGACCAGGUGCACCAGUGUGAUAGGGCUGGCUCUGCUACAAGUUCCCCUUGCUACCCUCCCCUGACUGUGACCUAGUGACAUUCAAAUGCACCAACGGAAUCCCCUCCUGCCUUUUCUUAUGGCUCUACCCUGACCCCCAAGGAAAGGGUCUCACCCACUCUCUGUUCCCUGCCUGCUUGGGGGAGCCCUAGUCUUUGGCUCUCCGCCCGUGUGACCCCCACCUCCUGUUGUUGUGUGCAGUGAAUCUGUCUAGGACAGGGUGUCUGAUCUUUUGGCUUCCCUGGGCCACACAUAAAACACAGUAACGACAGCUGAUCAGCUAAAAAAAAAAAAAAUCACAAAAAAAAUCUCAUAAUGUUUUGAGAAAGUUUACGGAUUUGUGUUGGGCCGCAUUCAAAGCUGUCCUGGGCUGCAUGCGGCCCGUGGGCUACGGGCUGGUCAAGCUUGGUCUAGGACCUGUGAGUCUGGUAAACUCUCUUGUCCUGUGCCUCUCCUGUGCCCCCUCUUGUGGCCACACCUGACUGACCAUCACCUAAAAGAACACAACUGCAAGGUGACUCUGGGCAAAUUGCUUCACCUGCCUCUGCUCUCCGUUUCUUCCCCGUCCAUACACAGAGUAAGAGUUGCUGCUCUUUGGGGCAGGGCGAGGACUGAGUGAGUUGAUGUGCAUGAAUGUCAAGUGCAGCGCUUGCUCGGCACAGAGUUCAGACUACCGGGACUUUGCAGGUUGCUGUAGUGAGGAUAGAGGGAGGUGGCUCUAGUGAAUAGUGGCCAUUUGUGUUCUAAUUGGGCUCUGGGAGGAAUGCAGGGCCUGUUUCCCAGUGCUGCAGGGGACCACUGGCCUUCAGUGGCUCCACAGAAGCAGGACAGAUGGCUCUGGGUCAGAGGAAGGCGCUCGGUGGGGGCUUCUGUAUUCUUUCUUGGGCUGUCCAGAGGUGAGUCCUGUCCUCUCUAAACAAGAUGACCCGACGGAAGGAAGGAGGCAGGUGAGAGCACGUGGCUUGGCAGCCUGCUCAUGGGCAGACCUCCAGGCGUGAGGGCCAGAGGCUCAGCCUGAAGCCUGAGGCUAGGCUGAAGGCCCUGCUUGCUAACAGGUGCAGAGCCGGACAGGACACAAACAGGCUUGCCGACACUGCAGAGGAGAGGGGUUCUUUCUCUGGGCCCAACUGCACUGAUCCCCAUAAGCCUCAUGGCUGGUCAGUGCCACACAGAGGGAACAUCCCCGGGCUGCGCUACAUGCCUGGUUUUAUUCAGUCACGUCACGUGCCUUCAUCCAGCUAUGUUGGUCAGACCUGGGAUGUGCUACGUGGCUCUCAAGGACCUCAGUUGACCGACCUGCAUCACCCUGCUGGAAAUCCUCAUGGUAGGCCCCAUGUGGGGGUGGGUGGUGGCAUGGUUGGCUCUCAGCACACCUGUCCCACCUGCUGAAAAAGAGCUCAAAACCCAAACUCUGGGGGCCUUCACUUUAGGAGACGUAGGAGAUAAGCAACCAAUUUUAACACACGAGCCUAAUUUAGAUUCUAACUCAAAUGUAAACACAACAACAACAGUUUAUGGGUCAACUGGGAAGAUGUGAAACUGCUUGGUUAUUUCAUGAUAUUAAGGAAUGACUGUUAAUUGUUUUAAAGUGUGAUAAUGGUAAUGUUAUCAUGUUUUCUAGAAGAGGGUCCUUAAGUUUAGAGAUACACACUGAAACUCUAACAGAUGACAUGCUGUCUGGGACUGUUUCAGAAUCACCCUGGGGUUAGGAAGUGGGCAGGGUGCAGGUGAGAGAGUGGACGGAACCAAGAUCGGCUAUGAGAUGGUAAUUGUUGAACUCUGGGUGAAGGGAAGAUGGAGCUUCAUGAAAAACACUCUUUAUUUUUGCAUAUCUUUGAAAAUUGCCAUAAAAAAACCUAGAAAGAGGAAGAGGAAGAGGAGGAGGAAGAGGGAGAGGGAGAGGAGAAGGGGAAGUAGGAGGAAAAAGAGAAUAAGAAGGAAACGGGAUAAGGAGGAGGGGAAGGGUACAGAAUAGGAGAAGGAGAAGGAGAGGACCAGGAAGAAUAGGAGAAGAAGAAAUAGAAGGAGGAAGAGGAAGAGGAAGAAGGGGAGUGAGAGGAGACAGAGAUGGAGAUACGGAGAAGGAGCUGCCACUGCAGCUACUGAGACGCCUGCUUGCUUGGGUCCUAAGAACCUGGAGACCGUGGCAAACCCCAGACCCAGGAGCAGCCACCCCUUCUCGGGCACUCCCACAGCCUCAGCCCCUCCCACUCCAGGGCUGGGGCCCCUCUCACUUGCUGGAAACCUGACUGGGUGGUGCAGGGCUCCCCAUCCCUGCAGAGCACAGGGCGGGCACUGACCGUGGAGAGGCAGCCCUUCCGCUCCCAGAGGAUGGCACCGAAGCCCAGGAAGCCGGUCACCAUGACAAGUACGCCCGCAAAGAUGAGGAUGUAGGCGG